GACGAAGGGGGCUAGCGUUGUUCGGAAUUACUGGGCGUAAAGGGCGCGUAGGCGGUUUGUUAAGUCAGGCGUGAAAGCCCUGGGCUCAACCUGGGAGGUGCGCUUGAUACUGGCAAGCUUGAGUGCAGGAGAGGAUGGUGGAAUUCCCAGUGUAGAGGUGAAAUUCGUAGAUAUUGGGAAGAACACCGGUGGCGAAGGCGGCCAUCUGGACUGCAACUGACGCUGAGGCGCGAAAGCGUGGGGAGCAAACAGGAUUAGAAACCCCUGUAGU
rnacentral:rRNA from 1 species